rnacentral:piRNA from 1 species
GUGACUGCUAGCAACUGAAUUCUGCUAAAC